AGUGACAUCUCAAAAAAAUAAUUUUUUUUUACCCCCAACACAGCCCUGUUCCAGCGCUUGGACCAGCUAGUCAUCUCAUACUUUACGAAACUGACAAGUACCCUUCUUUCCAUUGAGAAGCAACAGCUAUAAUUGACUGAGAUGCUACUGGAAUUUGAAGACUUGACUUUUUCUUUAUAUUCUUUCUCUUAAAAAUAAUGACUUGCCCGUCUUUGGGAAGCUGUGUACCAAAGAACCCGUGUAAAAGCCCCUCUUUCCUCCUGCAGAGCUGAUGUUGUACUGCUGCAUACCCCAGCUACUCUGAUUUUGUGAAGCUGUGUAUAAAGACUCUACCUCCUUGUGGCAUAUUGCAGGCAAGACUGCUACUUCUGGCAGUGUGAAGUAAGCUGUGGUUUGUUUUUUUGGGCACAAAAUAAACACAUUGCAGCGGGAGGUUGGCAGGCUGAAUAUAAAGGCUCUUUUUCCAGAGGUUUUUUGAGGCAUGACCUCAGAUACUCAGUUGACAGAGUCCUGGAAGCAUCGUUUUAAUGUCUUCCACUGUGUCACUCUGAUAGACAAGGCUUGGAAAGCAGUAUCUUCUAAGACCAUGAAUUCUGCCCAGAGGAAACUGGCCAGAAGCUGCAACUUCGAGGAUCUGUGAGGGCUUUGAGACUGAACUUAACCCAAGGGUGGAGGACAUUGUAAUCUCUGGGCAAGUUCAUGGCCUGGAGGUCAGUGAUGAAAAUAUUGAUGAGUUACUGGAGGAGCAGAGAGAAAAGCUCAGAGCUGAGGAGUUGCAAGAACUUUGCAGGGUGCCCCGACAAACAGUGGCUGAGAAGCUUGAUGUAAGGAAGGAAGGAAGCCCCUACUACUAAAAUAAACAUGCUCUGGAUAGGUUAAAUGAGGAAGGUUUCUUGAAAAGAAUGAUCUGACAAAGCUCUAGUAAACUGAAAUGUGGACUUGUUUAAUGAUCAAGCAAUGUCUCACUUUAGAAAUAACUUGAAAUAAAGAUGGGAGCAAGUUUCUCUAGAUGGGUUUCUAGUGAAAUGUCCUACAUUAAGUCUCCACUGGAUUCCAGUGAUGUUAGGAGAGAAAUGAAAGAACCCUUGUUCCAGUGUCUAAUAUUUUAUUGGGAGGGGACUACCCAUCCAAGCAGUAACUUCUCUACCUAGCUACCAUACCAUUAGGUCAUCAACUUCUUUCUGAACAGGUAAAAUGAAGUUACAUUUUAUCUAAUU